GGGCCCGUAGCUCAGGGGGAGAGCGCCUGCCUUGCAAGCAGGAGGCCACGGGUUCAAAUCCCGUCGGGUCCA
rnacentral:tRNA from 1 species